AGGGUUUGAUCAUGGCUCAGAACGAACGCUGGCGGCAGGCCUAACACAUGCAAGUCGAGCGCACCCUUCGGGGCGAGCGGCGGACGGGUUAGUAACGCGUGGGAAUGUACCCUUUACUACGGAAUAGCCUCUGGAAACGGAGAGUAAUACCGUAUGUGCCCUUCGGGGGAAAGAUUUAUCGGUAAAGGAUCAGCCCGCGUAAGAUUAGAUAGUUGGUGGGGUAAUGGCCUACCAAGUCUACGAUCUUUAGCUGGUUUUAGAGGAUGAUCAGCAACACUGGGACUGAGACACGGCCCAGACUCCUACGGGAGGCAGCAGUGGGGAAUCUUAGACAAUGGGCGCAAGCCUGAUCUAGCCAUGCCGCGUGUGUGAUGAAGGCCUUAGGGUCGUAAAGCACUUUCGCUAGGGAUGAUAAUGACAGUACCUAGUAAAGAAACCCCGGCUAACUCCGUGCCAGCAGCCGCGGUAAUACGGAGGGGGUUAGCGUUGUUCGGAAUUACUGGGCGUAAAGCGUACGUAGGCGGAUCAGAAAGUAGGGGGUGAAAUCCCAGGGCUCAACCCUGGAACUGCCUCCUAAACUCCUGGUCUUGAGUUCGAGAGAGGUGAGUGGAAUUCCAAGUGUAGAGGUGAAAUUCGUAGAUAUUUGGAGGAACACCAGUGGCGAAGGCGGCUCACUGGCUCGAUACUGACGCUGAGGUACGAAAGUGUGGGGAGCAAACAGGAUUAGAUACCCUGGUAGUCCACACCGUAAACGAUGAAUGCCAGUCGUCGGGCAGUAUACUGUUCGGUGACACACCUAACGGAUUAAGCAUUCCGCCUGGGGAGUACGGUCGCAAGAUUAAAACUCAAAGGAAUUGAACGGGGGC
rnacentral:rRNA from 1 species